rnacentral:rRNA from 1 species
GAUCAUGGCUCAGGACGAACGCUGGCGGCGUGCCUAACACAUGCAAGUCGAACGAGAUCCAUGGGAGCUUGCUCCCGGAAGAUCUAGUGGCGAACGGGUGAGUAACACGUGAGAAACCUGCCCUGGAGUGGGGAAUAACUCGGGGAAACUCGAGCUAAUACCGCAUACCCUCGGAUGGUCGCAUGGCCGACCGAGGAAAGAUUUAUCGCUCUAGGAGGGUCUCGCGGCCUAUCAGCUAGUUGGUGGGGUGACGGGCCUACCAAGGCAACGACGGGUAGCUGGUUUGAGAGAACGAUCAGCCACACUGGGACUGAGACACGGCCCAGACUCCUACGGGAGGCAGCAGUGGGGAAUCUUGCGCAAUGGGCGAAAGCCUGACGCAGCAACGCCGCGUGCGGGAUGACGGCCUUCGUGGUUGUAAACCGCUUUCAGCAGGGACGAAAUGACGGUACCUGCAGAAGAAGCCCCGGCUAACUACGUG